rnacentral:rRNA from 1 species
AACGCGAAGAACCUUACCUACCCUUGACAUGCCAGGAAGCGCUAAGAGAUUAGCGCGUGCCCGCAAGGGAGCCUGGGCACAGGUGCUGCAUGGCUGUCGUCAGCUCGUGUCGUGAGAUGUUGGGUUAAGUCCCGUAACGAGCGCAACCCCUGUUGUUAGUUACCAUCAUUAAGUUGGGGACACUAAUGAGACUGCCGGUGAUAAACCGGAGGAAGGUGGGGAUGACGUCAAGUCCUCAUGGCCCUUAUGGGUAGGGCUACACACGUGCUACAAUGGGUAAUACAAAGGGAGGCGAAACCGCGAGGUGGAGCGAAUCCCAGAAAGUUACUCGUAGUCCGGAUUGCAGUCUGAAACUCGACUGCAUGAAGUUGGAAUCGCUAGUAAUCGCAAAUCAGCAUGUUGCGGUGAAUACGUUCACGGGCCUUGUACACACCGACAUA